AUACGUAGGGAACAAGCGUUGUCCGGAUUUACUGGGCGUAAAGGGCAUGUAGGCGGUUUUUUAAGUCAGAUGUGAAAGGUACCGGCUCAACCGGUGACAUGCAUUUGAAGCUGAAGAACUUGAGUAUUGGAGAGGCAAGCGGAAUUCCUGGUGUAGCGGUGAAAUGCGUAGAUAUCAGGAGGAACACCGGUGGCGAAGGCGGCUUGCUGGAACAAAUACUGACGCUGAGAUGCGAAAGCGCGGGGAGC
rnacentral:rRNA from 1 species